rnacentral:rRNA from 1 species
CGUAGGUGGCAAGCGUUGUCCGGAUUACUGGGCGUAAAGCGCGCGCAGGCGGAUGGUUAAGUAGGAAGUGAAAGGUUGGAGCUCAACUCCAACAUUGCUCCCUAUACUGGCCGUCUUGAGUCCCGGAGAGGAAAGCGGAACGACACGUGGAGCGGUGAAAUGCGUUGAUAUGUGUCGGAACACCAAUGGCGAAGGCAGCUUUCUGGACGGUACUGACGCUCAGGCGCGAAAGCCGAGGUAGCGAACAGGAUU